UACGUAGGUGGCAAGCGUUGUCCGGAUUUACUGGGCGUAAAGGAUGCGUAGGUGGAUAUUUAAGUCAGAUGUGAAAUACCCGAGCUUAACUUGGGUGCUGCAUUUGAAACUGGAUAUCUAGAGUGCAGGAGAGGUAAGUGGAAUUCCUAGUGUAGCGGUGAAAUGCGUAGAGAUUAGGAAGAACACCAGUGGCGAAGGCGACUUACUGGACUGUAACUGACACUGAGGCAUGAAAGCGUGGGGAGCAAACAGGG
rnacentral:rRNA from 1 species